CAGUCGCCGCGGUAAAACGUAGGUGGCAAGCGUUGUCCGGAAUUAUUGGGCGUAAAGGGCUCGCAGGCGGUUUCUUAAGUCUGAUGUGAAAGCCCCCGGCUCAACCGGGGAGGGUCAUUGGAAACUGGGAAACUUGAGUGCAGAAGAGGAGAGUGGAAUUCCACGUGUAGCGGUGAAAUGCGUAGAGAUGUGGAGGAACACCAGUGGCGAAGGCGACUCUCUGGUCUGUAACUGACGCUGAGGAGCGAAAGCGUGGGGAGCGAACAGGAUUAGAUACCCCCGUAGUCCCUGUCUUUAUACA
rnacentral:rRNA from 1 species